UUCUGUGAGUCGAGUGCUACAAACAGGGGACUUUUCAAGCCCAAUUCCAAACACAGGAAUUCUUCCCUAGUCAGUCUGUCUCCCGGGCCCCACUGAGACAGCUGGCCUUCCCACGCAAGCUGAUGCACUCAGCUGUGACUGCCUGUUCCUGGGUCAGCCCGCUCCAGCUCACCCUUGACGGAGAACACCGGCUCCUUGACAGCUUGAGCUGCUUUCUGUUCCAAGUUGCAGAGAGCAAAUCGCGGGGCCUUUUCAAAAUGCAGGAGUUGCAAGGCUUUAUAAGCUUCGGAAAUCCUCUCCAUUAGAGAUGACGCUGACAGGAGGGGCUGUGCAACCAGGGAGAUGAGAAGAGUCAGACAUGUUUGUCACAGGGGAUGAAGAAGGAGGGAGCUGGUUGUUCCUUUGGAAGUCUGCAAGUGUCUUGGAAGGGCUAGGCCUUAAGCAAGAUUGGGAAAUAUAUGCAGCACACAAGGAGGAGGAGGCAUCCAGUCCACUGCAGACAAAAUCAGUCUCAGGUUAUGGGCCCAUUGGGGGCCUUCUCAUUCAAACCGCCACACUCACCGAACGUGUACCCAGGGAUUUCCCACAACAAGAAGGUAGAAGGAAGAAGGCCUGAACCAGAUCCUUCCUCAGGGUGCCUGGAAGGAGUCCCUGCUACCAGCACCGUGUCUACAGAACUGUGGGGGGAGCCAGUUCUGUUACUGAAGCCAAGUUCACCAAGUUGGUGGGAACCAGCCCAAGACUGUCCUCCGUAUACCUGAAUUUGGAUGCUCUUUCCUUGGAGUUCUAAGAGAGACUGUGGCCUGACCCUGCCACGCCACAAAGCCGUCUGAGGACCGGCGUCACUAUUCGGUUCUGCCCGGCGGCACUAGUGACUUCACACCCUAGAAAAGCGCAGAGAAUUGGCGUGACCCAUUUGGUAUCACUCUGAAAAAAGAUAAGAACAAGGGAAUUUCUCAUUCAUUCAUUCACUCGUCACCGGGUUAUGGAGCCUACCCUAAGCCAGACUCUCAGAACACAAAUGUACCCAAGGCUAGAGCCGGCCCUGUCCCAAUCACAGGGGGCUUGGGCCAUGAGGGCCACUAAAGAGGCUGGGUCGAUGUGUCUGGGAUUCCUCCAGCUCUGGGAUUCAGUGACUUGGAAGAAGAAAGAAGAGGUGGCGGGGGGGGGGGGGGGGGACAUUUU